AACGCACAUUGCGCCCUUUGGUAUUCCGAAGGGCAUGCCUGUUCGAGCGUCAUUAUCACCCCUCAAGCCCCGUGCUUGGUGUUGGACGGGUUGGUCGGGGCUUUCCCUCGACCCCUCCUAAAGACAAUGACGGCGGCCUGUGGUUCCCCCGGUACACUGAGCUUCUUAACCGAGCACGUACCGGACGAGGGCGCCCAGGCCACGGUCCCCUCCUUUCACUAGGAAUCUUUUAUCUCAAGGUUGACCUCGGAUCAGGUAGGAAUACGCGCUGAACUUAA
rnacentral:misc_RNA from 1 species